UACGGGGGGGGCAAGCGUUGUUCGGAAUUAUUGGGCGUAAAGGGCUCGUAGGCGGCCAACUAAGUCGGACGUGAAAUCCCCAGGCUCAACCUGGGAACUGCGUCCGAUACUGGAUGGCUUGAAUUCGGGAGAGGGAUGCAGAAUUCCAGGUGUAGCGGUGAAAUGCGUAGAUAUCUGGAGGAAUACCGGUGGCGAAGGCGGCAUCCUGGACCGACAUUGACGCUGAGGAGCGAAAGCUAGGGGAGCAAACGGG
rnacentral:rRNA from 1 species